rnacentral:lncRNA from 1 species
CUCACUGCAACCUCCGCCUCCCGGGUUCACGCCAUUCUCCUGACUCAGCCUCCAGAGUAGCUGGGACUACAGAUGCCGGCCACCAUGCCUGGCUAAUUUCUUGUGUUUUUAGUAGAGACGGGGUUUCACUGUGUUAGCCAGGAUGGUCUUGAUCUCCUGACCUCGUGAUCCACCCGCCUCGGCCUCCCAAAGUGCUGGGAUUACAGGCAUGAGCCAUCGCGCCUAGCCAUUUUUUUUUUUUUUUUGAAAUGGAGUCUCGCUCUGUCACCUAAGCUGGAGUGCAGUGCUGUCAUCUCGGAUCACUGCAACCUCUGCCUUUCAGGUUCAAGCGAUUCUCGUGCUUUAGCCUCUUGAGUAGCUGGGAUUACAGGCAUGCACCACCACACCCAGCUAAUUUUUGUAUUUUUAGUAGACACAGGGUUUCGCCAUGUUGGCCAGGCUGGUCUUGAACUCCUGACCUCAGAUGAUCCACCUGCCUCGGCCUCCCAGAGUACUAGCAUUACAAGUGUGAGCCACUGUGCCCAGCCUGUUAAAUACUUUUGUAGGUAAAUGCCAUUACUCCCCUUUUAGCAAGGUGAAAGUAACUUUAACCUUUUAACAAGGUGAAAGUAACCUGUCCAAGGUCUAUAUUUAACAAAAGUCAAAGCUACUUUUGUUUUUAUCUUUAAAAGAUAAGGACUCAGCCUGGGCAUGGUGGCUCACGCCUGUAAUCCCAGCU